GUUGAGAUGGCCGAGUGGUCUAAGGCGCUAGACCCGAAGUCAUGCAGGACGUGGGUGUAAAUCCCACUCUCAUCA